rnacentral:rRNA from 2 species
AGGUUAAGUUAACAAGGGCGCAUGGUGAAUGCCUUGGCACUAGGAGCCGAUGAAGGACGGGACUAACACCGAUAUGCUUCGGGGAGCUGUACGUAAGCUAUGAUCCGGAGAUUUCCGAAUGGGGCAACCCAGCAGUUUUAAUCAACUGUUACCACUAGAUGAAUUCAUAGUCUAGUUGGAGGUAAACGCUGUGAACUGAAACAUCUCAUUAGCAGCAGGAAUAUAAAGAAAUUUCGAUUCCCUAAGUAGCGGCGAGCGAACGGGGAACAGCCCAAACCAAAGUGCUUGCACUUUGGGGUUGUAGGACUGAACAUUUGAGUUACCAAAGAACUUGAUAGUCGAAGGAUUUGGGAAAAUCCGCCAUAGAUGGUGAUAGCCCAGUAGAUUAAAUCAAAUUCUCUCAGUUCAGGAUCCUGAGUACGGCGGAACACGUGAAAUUCCGUCGGAAUCCGGGAGGACCAUCUCCCAAGGCUAAAUACUACCUAGUGACCGAUAGUGAACCAGUACCGUGAGGGAAAGGUGAAAAGCACCCCGGGAGGGGAGUGAAAUAGUUCCUGAAACCAUGUGCCUACAAUAAGUCAGAGCGCGUUAAUGCGUGAUGGCGUGCCUUUUGUAGAAUGAACCGGCGAGUUAUGAUCCCGUGCAAGGUUAAGACUAAAAAGUCGGAGCCGUAGCGAAAGCGAGUCUGAAAUGGGCGUUUUGAGUACGAGGUUAUAGACCCGAAACCAGGUGACCUAUCCAUGUCCAGGUUGAAGGUGCGGUAAAACGCACUGGAGGACCGAACCCGUGUAAGUUGAAAAUUGCUGGGAUGAGGUGUGGAUAGCGGUGAAAUUCCAAACGAACUUGGAGAUAGCUGGUUCUCUCCGAAAUAGCUUUAGGGCUAGCCUCGGAAUUAGGAUCAUGGAGGUAGAGCACUAUUUGGACUAGGGGCCCGUCUUGGGUUACUGAAUUCAGAUAAACUCCGAAUGCCAUUGAUUCAUAUCCGGGAGUCAGACGAUGAGUGAUAAGAUCCACCGUCGAAAGGGGAACAGCCCAGACCAUCAGUUAAGGUCCCUAAAUGUAUGCUAAGUGGAAAAGGAUGUGGAGUUGCAUAGACAACUAGGAUGUUGGCUCAGAAGCAGCCACCAUUUAAAGAGUGCGUAAUAGCUCACUAGUCGAGUGAUCCUGCGCCGAAAAUGUACCGGGGCUAAGCAUACUACCGAAACCAUGGAUGCGACCAUUAGGUCGCGUGAUAGGAGAGCGUUCUAAGGGCGGUGAAGCAAGAUCGUGAGGACUUGUGGAGCGCUUAGAAGUGAGAAUGCCGGUAUGAGUAGCGAAAGAUAGGUGAGAAUCCUAUCCACCGAAUGACUAAGGUUUCCUGGGGAAGGCUCGUCCUCCCAGGGUUAGUCGGGACCUAAGUCGAGGCCGAGAGGCGUAGACGAUGGAUAACAGGUUGAGAUUCCUGUACUAGUUAAGUGCGUUUGAGCAAUGGAGGGACGCAGGAGGCUAAGAUGUGCAUUCUGUUGGAUUAGAAUGUCCAAGCAGUAAGUCUUGUGAAGAGUCAAAUGCUUUUCACUUUAAGGACAAGCUGUGAUGGGGAGCGAAAUUUAGUAGCGAAGCGUCUGAUGUCACACUGCCGAGAAAAGCUUCUAGUGAGUACUUAACUACCCGUACCGCAAACCGACACAGGUAGUCGAGGAGAGAAUCCUAAGGUGAGCGAGUGAACUCUCGUUAAGGAACUCGGCAAAAUGACCCCGUAACUUCGGGAGAAGGGGUGCUGAUCGCAAGAUCAGCCGCAGUGAAUAGGCCCAGGCGACUGUUUAUCAAAAACACAGGUCUCUGCAAAAUCGUAAGAUGACGUAUAGGGGCUGACGCCUGCCCGGUGCUGGAAGGUUAAAAGGAUGGGUUAGCUUCGGCGAAGCUCAGAAUUGAAGCCCCAGUAAACGGCGGCCGUAACUAUAACGGUCCUAAGGUAGCGAAAUUCCUUGUCGGGUAAGUUCCGACCCGCACGAAAGGCGUAACGAUCUGGGCACUGUCUCAACGAGAGACUCGGUGAAAUUAUAUUGUCCGUGAAGAUGCGGACUACCCGCGACAGGACGGAAAGACCCCAUGGAGCUUUACUGUAGCUUGAUAUUGAGUGUUUGUACAGCUUGUACAGGAUAGGUAGGAGCCAUAGAAACCGGAACGCUAGUUUCGGUGGAGGCGUUGGUGGGAUACUACCCUCGCUGUAUGACCACUCUAACCCGCACCACUAAUCGUGGUGGGAGACAGUGUCAGGUGGGCAGUUUGACUGGGGCGGUCGCCUCCUAAAAAGUAACGGAGGCGCCCAAAGGUUCCCUCAGAAUGAUUGGAAAUCAUUCGCAGAGUGUAAAGGCACAAGGGAGCUUGACUGCGAGACAGACAGGUCGAGCAGGGACGAAAGUCGGGCUUAGUGAUCCGGUGGUACCGUAUGGAAGGGCCAUCGCUCAACGGAUAAAAGCUACCCUGGGGAUAACAGGCUUAUCUCCCCCAAGAGUCCACAUCGACGGGGAGGUUUGGCACCUCGAUGUCGGCUCAUCGCAUCCUGGGGCUGUAGUCGGUCCCAAGGGUUGGGCUGUUCGCCCAUUAAAGCGGUACGCGAGCUGGGUUCAGAACGUCGUGAGACAGUUCGGUCCCUAUCCGUCGCGGGCGUAGGAAAUUUGAGAGGACCUGUCCUUAGUACGAGAGGACCGGGAUGGACAUACCUCUGGUGUACCAGUUGUGCCGCCAGGCGCAUCGCUGGGUAGCUACGUAUGGAUGUGAUAAACGCUGAAAGCAUCUAAGUGUGAAACACACCUCGAGAUGAGAUUUCCCAUUCCUUUAUGGAAGUAAGACCCCUGAAAGAUGAUCAGGUAGAUAGGUUAGAAGUGGCAGUGCGGUGACGCAUGAAGCGGACUAAUACUAAUUGGUCGAGGACUUAACCAAG